UUGGCCAUUCUCUUGUGUGAGGAGGAGAAGCAUCGCGAGCGAUUCAUGAGCAGUAAAGUACGGUCAGUUCCUUCAUUUUUGCAGCUGUCCUGAGAUUUGAGGUGUGCAAGGCAGUUUGUGCCAUAUGUGCUCAUCUCUAUGAUCCUGCACACGACGCAUUGGUCUUAUUUCUGCUGGUUGUGGCACAAGCGCUGUGGGCAGUCUUAGUUUUCCAUUAUUUUUGUCUGUGAGGGGUUCUGUGCUCUACUGGGGACGUGUUUGCGAGAUGCUGUGUCACCAUUGGCUUCCUGUACCUCUGUGCUGCUCUUUGCUGUAGGUCACUUACGACACCAGCACACAGAAUGUCAUCAAUUGCAAGAGCAGCGCUGCAGUUGAAGGGUGCCGCCGUCUAGUACUGCCAACAGAGAUGAUCAUUGUUGCCAUGCUUGAAAUCAGCUGAGCAGGGUUGAGGAAUGACAUGCACAUGCAAGAAGGAUUGGGCGUGAUGCUGAAAGAUCUGAAUGGCCGAUGUACGGAGACCCUGUGAGUGACUUGUUGACUUGCUCCCAGGAGCCCUGAUCAGAGCACAGAUGAUGAUAUAUGAUCGUAUAUAUGAGCUUAAUGUGUAAGUUUAUC
rnacentral:lncRNA from 1 species